CGGAGGAUCCAAGCGUUAUCCGGAUUUAUUGGGUUUAAAGGGUGCGUAGGCGGCCUAUUAAGUCAGGGGUGAAAGACGGUAGCUUAACUAUCGCAGUGCCUUUGAUACUGAUAGGCUUGAAUACACUUGAGGUAGGCGGAAUGUGACAAGUAGCGGUGAAAUGCAUAGAUAUGUCACAGAACACCAAUUGCGAAGGCAGCUUACUAAAGUGAGAUUGACGCUGAGGCACGAAAGCGUGGGGAUCAAACAGGAUU
rnacentral:rRNA from 1 species